CUGUGCUCUGCUCUCCGGUCUGUCCCAAGGCAGGAGAGAUGGAAACAUUUGCUGUGAGAAGCUGAGACAAAUGGGGAAGGAGGUGGGUAUUUGGGUCAGGGCUCCCACUCACAGAGGAAGAUGAAUUGACAAGGCAUGAAAUAAACAGUAAGGAAUAAUCAGGAAAUGAGGGAAAGUCCAGAUUAUACUCAUCCCUGAUGGGCCAACACAGCUGGUGGCCCAUGCAGCGGCAGAGAUCCACUCCCCAUAGAGGGAAAAGCAGAAACAUGAGGAAGAAAGUGCCAAUUUAGGAAGACGAGUCCAGCCAGGGUUCACAAAGGCAAAACCCAGAGAAAACUCGCACUUGUAAAUGGAACUUCUGCGCUGUAUUUAAGGAGGCAGAGACGGUGUUAACUGCUAAUACCGAUUUUUACUUUGGUGCUUUCUUCAGAGUUUGCAGUGUCUGUCAAAAGAUAAGAGAUUUGAAGGGCACAGAAUUGAAUUGGUCACUUGGCUAAGAAGAAUAAAAAAGUCAACAUUUACAAAUAAGAUGUGAAAACCAAAUUGACUUGUGGAAUUAGCGAAGUCUGAUUUGUUUUGUUAAAUAAUGCCAUCAGAGGGCAGAGUUUGUUCACAAAAGUUGAUAGAAGAAACACUGUUCACAUCAGUAAUUGAGACUUCACUUGUAGGGAAGAGAAAAGGUGUCCAAAAUGCACCCCCUUGCACAUCACACCCCACUGCUUUUCUGGUGAUUGACUAAUUUUCACACUGUUUGUUUGUUUUUGCAAGUUACUAUUGGCACCGGAACCACCAUCUGAGAUACAGGAGAAGACAGAAAUGGAAGCAAAGGAAGAUGGAAAAAUAGAAAACAGAGACCCCCAAGAGGUUGAACAGCUUGCCGAGAAUCAUGACCAGUUGGGAGGCCAGUUCUGACACCAGAGGUCCUGACGGCCAGGCCAGCACUGUUUUCUGUAGACAUGGUAUCUUCUAAAAGGCAUUUAUCAUUUUUUUUCCUUUCAGAAUUAAAUGAAGACUAAACUCCUGUACACGUGUUUGUUGGUAGAGGCCAUCACAGAAUAUGGCCACCAUACUGUGAUCUGCCAACCCAAUUAAGAUACUGGCCAUGGCUUCUAAUUUGUGUUUUACACUGUUCAGACAUAAAUAUUUAAAAUUUGUUGCAUUGCAAUCUGUUUGGUUGUAAAGAUUUGACCUAUGAAGCAAGAAGUGUUCAUGAAUGAGGUUUAAGGAUGUCAGGGGUGACUCAGAAGGAAACGCGCUAGAACAGCAAGGAUCAGGGAAGCAGCGCUUUUCUCUUUGCAAGUCAUAAAAUACAAUGCCUGAAAGAGCUAAUAAGCCUUGUUAUCUAAUCAUGUCUAAUAAUAUGCAUGUGGCCUUCUGGAAUUAAGAGGCAGGGCACACACCCUGGAUAAUCCAGUAACAAGCCAUUUUAUAAAUGUGGUUGAAAACACAGUCCUAGCUGCCCAGCACCUGGCCCUGGAUUACUGUGGAAAAUUUGCAGGAGUCCUGUUACCAUCCCAGGAACUCUGGUUAUCAGGAAGGCCCAGGAAACUUCAGGGAACACUUGCUUUUAAAGAUAAGGCAGCAGCUCCUUUUCUCUGCUUAAUAACUUGCUUUACUGAAUCUCAUUCUUUGCACUUAACUUGCACAGGACCUGCUGCAUAGCAGGGAAGUCCUUGGAUGGCUGAAAUCUUCUUCCAGCCAGGUGGGUUGUCAGGCACCCUGGACCAGAGCAGCAGCUCCUCCAGACCCAGCUCCCUUGGUGCCUGGCCUGCAGGAGCCACUGGGUCAGCACUAACUAGCAGAUGUUGCCUGCUGCCCUGGGUCCUUUGGUGCUCUCGUGUGGACCUGCAAGGAACUGUCAACCCCAUGUUAAGAUGACAGAAGUGCCCGUCAGAGGGCUGACAAGGGAGGCCCGGAGGUUCCCAGGCUGGUCUCCAGCAGAUCUGCCUCUGGAUCCAGUGAUCUGUCAGCUAUUAGAUAGCAGCUGUGUAUGCAGACUUGAGCCAGCACAGGGAGAGCAAAACACUGAGGGCCAUCAGCAAAGGAGUGAGGCACAGUGACAAUCAACCUAUGCUAAUGAAAGACUGGGGAAGAGAACACUCAGAACCUGAAGCUAGUAAUUUAACAAAUAGGGAAUCUAAAAACCUGAAUUUGAAGAUUUGCAUUGUUAUCAGAAGACCACAGCUGCUGGAAACAAAAACCAGAAUUUUAAAUACCUCCCCAGCAUCAAACACGUGAGGCUUAGAAAAUCAAAUGGUUUACAGUCACGCAUUGCUUAAUGUCAGGGGUACAUUCUGAGAAAUGCAUCAUUAGGUGAUUUCGUGGUUGUGCAAGCAUCAUAGAGUACAUACACAAACCUCGAUGGCACGGCCUACUGCGUAACUAUGCUGUAGAGUACAGCCUGUUGCUUCUGGGCUACAAACCUGGACAGCAUGUGACUAUACUGAAUACUGGAGGCAACUGUGACACAAUAAUAAUCAUUUGUGUAUCUAAACAUAGAAAAGAUAUGGUAAAAAUACCAUAUUAUAAUCUUAUGGAUUAAUGUAUAUAUGAGGUCUGUCAUUGACCAAAAUGUCGUGAUGUGGCACACGAUUGUAUUAAAAAGACAGACAGAGGCUGGUACUUUGGAUCCUAGAAAAUACUCAUUACUCUAGCACUAAAUUAUUUCUAGAGUUCUGUGCAGGUUCAAAUUGUACAAAAAUGUGC
rnacentral:lncRNA from 10 species